UUAAAGCGACAUUUAUGUCGUGGUAUAAAUUGGAGAUACAAACCAAUGUUUGGUGAUUCACAAUUUCUUUUCUGAUCGCACGUUAGUGCGACGCAUCGUUCAAAUUUCUGACCUAUCAACUUUGGAUGGUAAGGUAUUGUCUUACCAUGGUUGUGACGGGUGACGGAUCGUGGGUGCGAGACUCCGGAGAGGGAGCCUGAGAGACGGCUACCACACCAAGGAAGGCAGCAGGCGCGCAAAUUACCCAAUCCGGAUACCGGGAGGUAGUGACAAGAAAUAGCAAUAGAGGGCCCAACGGGUUUUCUAAUUGGAAUGAGAACAAGGUAAACAGCUUAUCGAGGAGCCAGCGAUGGUUACAUUCUGUGCGCCUACCAUGGUUGACCACACCGGGUAACGGGAGAUCAGGGGUCCCAAUUCGGAGAGGGAAGCCUGAGAAACGGCCUACCACAUCCAAGGAAGGCAGCAGGCGCGCAAAUUACCCACUCCCGUCUCGGGGAGGUUAGUGACGAAAAAUAACAAUACAGGACUCUUUCGUUGCCCUGUAAUUUGGGAUUGAUACACUCUUUAAACCUUUAACGAGGAUCCAUUGGAGGGCAAGUCUGGUUCCCAGCCGGCCGCGCGAUAAUUCCUGCUCCAAUGCGUAUCUUAAAGGUUGCUGCAGUUCAAAAGACUCGUAGUUGGAAUCUCGCGGAUCGAGCUGGCCGGUCCGCCGCGAGGCCGAGCUACCGCCUGUCCCACCCCCGCCUCUCGGCGCCCCCUCGAUGCUCUUACUGUUGUUCUCCCGCGGGGUCCCAAAGUGUUCUACUAACUGAGUGUCCCGCGGGGUCCGAAGCGUUUACUUGUAAAAAAUUAGAGUGUUCAAAGCAGGGCCGGGUCGCCUGAAUACUCAGCUUGGAAUAAUGGAAUAGGACUCCGGUUCUAUUUUGGGGUUUUUCCUCUGAACUGGGGCCAUGAUUCAAGAGGGACGGCCGGGGGCAUUCGUAUUUGUGCCGCUAGAGGGGGGAGAAAUUCUUGGGACCGGCGCAAAACGGACAAAAGCGAAAGCAUUUGCCAAAAUAAUGUUUUCAUUAAUCAAGAACGAGUCGCAAGCGUUCGAAGACGAUCAGAUACCGUCGUANNCCGACCAUAAACGAUGCCAACUAGCGAUCCGGCGGCAUUAUUCCCAUGACCCGCCGGGCAGCGUCCGGGAAACUUCCGUCCGGAAACCCAAAGACUUUGGUUUCCGGGGGGAGUAGGUGCAAAGCUGAAACUUAAAGGAAAUGACCGGAAGGGCACCACCAGGAGUGGAGCCUGCGGCUUAAUUUGACUCAACACGGAAACCUCACCCGGCCCCCGGACACGGAAAGGAUUGACAGAUUGAUAGCUCCUUUCGCGAUUCUGUGGGUGGUGGUGGCUGGCUUUCUUAGUUGGUGGAGCGAUUUGUCUGGUUCAUUUCCGAUAACGAACGAGACUCCGGCAUGCUAACCUAGUUAUUCCGGCCCACGAGUGGUCGGCGUCCAACUUCUUAGAGCGGCCCCGAGUGGUCGGCGUCCAACUUCUUAGAGGAGCCCCGAGUGGUCGGCGUCCAACUUCUUAGAGGGCAAGUGGCGUUCAGCCACACGAGAUUGAGCAAUAACAUGAUUUGUCUGGUUAAUUCCGAUAACGAACGAGACUCUAGCCUACUAAUUAGACUGAGGUAUCCUUGUGCUGCCUCAGCGCUUCCUAGAGGGACAGACGGCGUUUCAGCCGUAUGAGAAAUCGGCGUCCAACUUCUUAGAG
rnacentral:rRNA from 1 species